AACCCCUGUGACAUACCACUUGUUGCCUCGGCGGAUCAGCCCGCUCCCGGUAAAACGGGACGGCCCGCCAGAGGACCCCUAAAACUCUGUUUCUAUAUGUAACUUCUGAGUAAAACCAUAAAUAAAUCAAAACUUUCAACAACGGAUCUCUUGGUUCUGGCAUCGAUGAAGAACGCAGCAAAAUGCGAUAAGUAAUGUGAAUUGCAGAAUUCAGUGAAUCAUCGAAUCUUUGAACGCACAUUGCGCCCGCCAGUAUUCUGGCGGGCAUGCCUGUUCGAGCGUCAUUUCAACCCUCAAGCACAGCUUGGUGUUGGGACUCGCGUUAAUUCGCGUUCCUCAAAUUGAUUGGCGGUCACGUCGAGCUUCCAUAGCGUAGUAGUAAAACCCUCGUUACUGGUAAUCGUCGCGGCCACGCCGUUAAACCCCAACUUCUGAAUGUUGACCUCGGAUCAGGUAGGAAUACCCGCUGAACUUAAGCAUAUCAAUAAGCGGAGGA
rnacentral:rRNA from 1 species